GAUGAACGCUGGCGGCGUGCUUAACACAUGCAAGUCGAACGAUGAAGCCCAGCUUGCUGGGUGGAUUAGUGGCGAACGGGUGAGUAACACGUGAGUAACCUGCCCUUGACUCUGGGAUAAGCCUGGGAAACUGGGUCUAAUACUGGAUAUGACUUCUCAUCGCAUGGUGGGGGGUGGAAAGAUUUAUUGGUCUAGGAUGGACUCGCGGCCUAUCAGCUUGUUGGUGAGGUAAUGGCUCACCAAGGCGACGACGGGUAGCCGGCCUGCGAGGGUGACCGGCCAAACUGGGACUGAGACACGGCCCAGACUCCUACGGGAGGCAGCAGUGGGGAAUAUUGCACAAUGGGCGCAAGCCUGAUGCAGCGACGCCGCGUGAGGGAUGACGGCCUUCGGGUUGUAAACCUCUUUCAGUAGGGAAGAAGCGAGAGUGACGGUACCUGCAGAAGAAGCGCCGGCUAACUACGUG
rnacentral:rRNA from 1 species